UCUUGUUGUGGUAGUUUUUCUUCUUUUAAAUAUAGUCUCCUCCUUUACUGUGUCGAUUCCCUUUAUAUAUUUAAAUGUUUCUAUCAUAUCCCCCCGUCUCGUCUUUCCUCCAAGCUAUACAUGUUAAGAUCCUUUAACCUUUCCUGGUAAGUUUUAUCCCGCAAUCCAUGAACCAGUUUAGUAGCCCUUCUCUGAACCCUCUCUAAGGUAUCAAUAUCCUUCUGAAGAUACGGUCUCCAGUACUGUGUAC